rnacentral:rRNA from 1 species
UACGGAGGGGGCGAGCGUUAUUCGGAAUUAUUGGGCGUAAAGGGCGCGUAGGCGGCUUGGCAAGUCAAAGGUGAAAUCCCUCGGCUCAACUGAGGAACUGCCUUUGAAACUGCCUGGCUUGAGGCCGGGAGGGGGUAGCGGAAUUCCCGGUGUAGCGGUGGAAUGCGUAGAGAUCGGGAAGAACAUCGGUGGCGAAGGCGGUCUGCUGGGCCGUUGCUGACGCUGAGGCGCGACAGCGUGGGGAGCAAACAGG